rnacentral:misc_RNA from 1 species
UCCAGCUUAUCGCUGGCGGUCUCCUGCGAGUUCCCAACUGAAUGAUGGCAACACAGGACAGGAGUUGCGCUCGUUGCGGGACUUAACCCAACAUCUCACGACACGAGCUGACGACAGCCAUGCAGCACCUGUGUUCCCGCCAGCCGAACUGAAGGAUCUCAUCUCUGAAAUCCAUACGGGACAUGUCAAGGGCUGGUAAGGUUCUGCGCGUUGCUUCGAAUUGAACCACAUGCCCCACCGCUUGUGCGGGCCCCCGUCAAUUUCUUUGAGUUUUAAUCUUGCGACCGUACUUCCCAGGCGGCACGUUUAACGCGUUAGCUUCGCCACGAAAGGAUUCGACACCUCUCACAGCAAACGUGCACCGUUUACAGCUAGGACUAC